AAAAAAAAAAGAAAAUGCUCCGCAGCGCAUAGAGCUACACAACGCACGCUUACUACGCGUCCCAUGGUUAGACUAGUACACUCUUCCACACGGUGAAAGAAUAUUAUCAUAUUAUGAUGCUUACACCGACCGUGCUCUACCAUGACCACAACAACCGCCAUGUUGAAAAGAAAAACAUUUUAGUUGCGUAUCUUCUCAUGAUCGGCUGAAACCUCUAUGGCUCAAACAAUAAUAAUCAUAUAGCAAGAAAUUUAAAUUAUGUCAAAUAAAAGUGAAAUAAAAUUGUUACCUCACAUAGAUAGCGUAUUAUUUAUUAAUAGCGAGAAACUUCACAAAUACGAAACUGUGGAAACGUGACGGCGUAGUUCGGCAGCCAUAUUAACAGCGAGCUGUUCGAGCGAGGCAUGGAGCGAAGCGUGCGCGGUUGUGAAGAUUUUUCUAGAGGAACCUGUGGUGUCAUUGCCUGCGUAACCUCAUUUAAGUAGUAUUAGUGUUGGACAUUUUCACCCUUGGAAGACGGCAUGAUUACAGGCCAAUGGAUGGCACCUGCUUUUAACACCGACUACGCGGCUUUGUGGACCCAUCGUGUGUGGAAUGACGUGCGCACUUUUCCCUGCUCUUGAUUCUGCCAUUUGGAGAUGGUGAUGUGCAAGAGUUACGAAAUGUGUAAACGUGUGCAAGGUCAUCAAGGGAGCAUUCAAGACGUUUCAUCGCUAAACACAAGCUCAAGUGUUCUAAUAAAUGUCAAAUUUCAACACCAA
rnacentral:lncRNA from 1 species